rnacentral:rRNA from 1 species
UACGUAGGGGGCAAGCGUUGUCCGGAUUUACUGGGCGUAAAGCGCGCGUAGGCGGAUCUGCAAGUCGGGGGUGAAAUCCCGAGGCUCAACCUCGGAACUGCCUUCGAUACUGCGGGUCUCGAGUCCGGGAGAGGUGAGUGGAAUUCCUAGUGUAGAGGUGAAAUUCGUAGAUAUUAGGAAGAACACCAGUGGCGAAGGCGGCUCACUGGCCCGGUACUGACGCUGAGGCGCGAAAGCGUGGGGAGCAAACAGG